GUAGGGUGCGAGCGUUGUCCGGAAUUACUGGGCGUAAAGAGCUUGUAGGUGGUUUGUCGCGUUGUUCGUGAAAUCUCACGGCUUAACUGUGAGCGUGCGGGCGAUACGGGCAGACUGGAGUACUGCAGGGGAGACUGGAAUUCCUGGUGUAGCGGUGGAAUGCGCAGAUAUCAGGAGGAACACCGGUGGCGAAGGCGGGUCUCUGGGCAGUAACUGACGCUGAGAAGCGAAAGCGUGGGGAGCGAACAGGAUUAGAUACCCUGGUAGUCCACGCCGUAAACGGUGGGUACUAGGUGUGGGUUUCCUUCCUUGGGAUCCGUGCCGUAGCUAACGCAUUAAGUACCCCGCCUGGGGAGUACGGCCGCAAGGCUAAA
rnacentral:rRNA from 1 species